ACGGAAGGCAGCAGUGAGGAAUAUUGGUCAAUGGGCGGAAGCCUGAACCAGCCAAGUCGCGUGAAGGAAGAAGGUAUUAUGUAUUGUAAACUUCUUUAGCAGCAGAGUAAUAAGGGGGUCGAGACCUCCGAUGCAAGUAUGCUGAAAAUAAGGAUCGGCUAACUCCGUGCCAGCAGCCGCGGUAAUACGGAGGACCGAGCGUUAUCCGGAUUUAUUGGGUUUAAAGGGUGCGCAGGCGGCUUUUUAAGUCAGUGGUUAAAUCGUGAGGCUCAACCUCAUCACGCCAUUGAUACUGGAGAGCUUGAUUGCGGUUGAGGUUGGCGGAAUUCGUCGUGUAGCGGUGAAAUGCAUAGAUAUGACGAAGAACCCCGAUUGCGUAGGCAGCUGACCAAGCCGUAAAUGACGCUCAUGCACGAAAGUGCGGGGAUCGAACAGGAUUAGAUACCCUGGUA
rnacentral:rRNA from 1 species